rnacentral:rRNA from 1 species
GACGAACGCUGGCGGCGCGCUUAACACAUGCAAGUCGAACGUGAAACCCGGGCUUGCCCGGGUGGAAAGUGGCGAACGGGUGCGUAACACGUGAGGAACCUGCCCCGAAGACCGGGAUAACACCGGGAAACCGGUGCUAAUACCGGAUGUCCUCACCGGAUCGCAUGGUCUGGUGAGGAAAUGGAUUCCGCUUCGGGAUGGCCUCGCGGCUUAUCAGCUUGUUGGUGGGGUAAAGGCCUACCAAGGCAACGACGAGUAGCUGGUCUGAGAGGAUGUCCAGCCACACUGGGACUGAGACACGGCCCAGACUCCUACGGGAGGCAGCAGUGGGGAAUCUUGCACAAUGGCGAAAGCCUGAUGCAGCGACGCCGCGUGCGGGAUGAAGGCCCUCGGGUCGUAAACCGCUUUCAGCAGGGACGAUAGUGACGGUACCUGCAGAAGAAGCCCCGGCCAACUACGUGCCAGCCGCCG